rnacentral:lncRNA from 1 species
UUAAAUAACAGAAGUGAAAUUUCCCAAUCUCUAUGCUUUAGCAACUUCAUAGACUUUAAACUUCAAUCAUUGACUUAAUGACUGGAAACUAAUAAGGUACAUUGGAGAAUAUCUUGAAAAAUUCGACUUCUAGCCUGAGUUUUGCUGCUCAGUUUCACGCUGUCUUCCCCCGUAUGCUUCCAUGAAUAACUUACAUUUAUUUGAACAAAUAUUUUCAUAAUUUCCUCGCUUUUUCUCAGAAAGUGAUGUGCUCACUGUAUACCCAAUGUCUUCCUUUUGUCUCAUAUUUCUUUGAGAUUUUUCUAUAAGACCAAUAUGUUUGCUUAUUGAUUUUAUCAUUAAUGAGGAAUUCUCAUGACAUGAACAUACUAUAAUUUAAUGUUGCCAUACUUAUAUUAUUUUCUCUCAGUUUUUAUUGUAAUCAGCAAUGAUUCAUAGCAUAUAAAGGCAUUAAUAUAAGUAAAGUAGUUCCUAAAUGAAUUUCCAGAAGUGAAAUUGUGAAGUCACAGGGUGAAUGGGUAGACUAGUUGGGUAGAGUUUUGCAUAAUUUUCUUCCUUACAGUUGUUAUUCCUUUAUACUUUUUCUCUGAGUGCAUGAAAUCUGUCUCUACAUAAAUGAUAAUGUGUUUAUGCUUUGUCUUUUUGUUAAAGCAAAUGUUUUGGUUCUUAAAUCAUGCUACAAGACCAUGAAUGGUAGGGUCUUGCAUUGUUUCUAUAGGAUGUGCAUUGUGUUAGUUUGUAACUCCUGGAACUUAUCAGAGCAUUCAGUGCAAAGGUAACGCUGCCACUAGAGGCCAUGUUGAUGGCUGUGAUCAGGGCUGCUGCAGGAGACCUUGUUGAUGGCCAUGACCUUUUCCUGUUAUGGGUAUUCAGGGUUCUUCUGCAGUGGCAUUGAUGACUGCAGACUCAUAAAUAAGAAUGAGAGACCCAGUAGGUUUCUGUGAUAACGCCCCCCUUCCCCGCC